rnacentral:lncRNA from 10 species
GGCGUGAUCUCAGCUCACUGCAACCUCCGCCUCCCAGGCUCAAACGAUUCUCCUGCCUCAGCAUCCUGAGUAGGAUUACAGGCACCUGUCUCUACAUCCGGAGGAGGAGACUGAGCCCCUGAGAGUCUGGGUGAAUUGCCUAACAUCACACAGCUAUUAAGGGCAGCCCAGUACUCUCUAAGGGAUGAAAACUGUGAAUUGAUAUACACACCCAGAGCCUCCACCAGCAGCCAUAAAGUUUGCAGCCGAGACAAAAUGGAUGCAGUAUGGUGUGAGAAAGAAAAAGAAAAACACACAAAACUUAAGACGCAGAUGUGUGUGAACCUCAGCCCUGCCACAAACUAGCUGGGGGUCCAGCCUUAAACAACUUUCAGCCUUGCUAAGUCUCAAGAUUCUCACCUAUAACAGAGAAAUAGUGAAUAUCUGUCUCAUAUGAUUAUCAUUGUGAUAAAGUAAGUUAUGUAAGGCACUUUAUAGGUCACAAAGUCUCAUAGCACAAAUGUUACAUUAUUGUUUUCUUACAAUGCAAGUAGAAAAAGUUUCAAGCAAGCUAACUUGCACAGCUGCACAUCAUCCCAUCAUUCUCCACAACCCAUCCUCAGCUUUUAUUCUCCAAUUCUUGCACUGGUACCUGGAAUGUUCAUCAAUCUUUAUUGAAAUGGGAUGAAUUAAAUUCUACUAAAUUUAUAUUCUUUACACAGAUUCAUAAAAACAACAGAUAUGGCAAUAUGAUGUCCCAUACCUUUUAAUUCUAGGAGAUCAGCUUUAUAACCCACAUGAACAGAGGCAGCUCCAAAUUAACUUAACAGUAAGGAUUUAGGAGGCUAAAAAUUCUUCAAAUGUCUUUAGAAUUCAAUAGAACACUUGCUUUUAAAUUCAAUUAAUUGAGAAUCUUUAAUGUUUUUAAGAUAUAUUUUAAUCAUUCAAGAAUAAAUAGGAAUUUCAAAAUAAAUAGAAGUUGGUACUUAUUUUCCCAACUCCCAAAUACUUUUAGGCUAUUAAACUCUCAUCCCUUUGGGGAGAAAAUAGUUUCGCAACAGAAUUUCAACAAGGGAAAAUUAUCACCUGCAAGUGUACAUCAUAUUACCACUAAAAAGGGCUUCCACAUCUCUUGUUUUGUUCUGUUUUGUUUUGUUUUGUUUUGUUUGAAACCAAGUCUUGCUCUAUCGCCCAGGCUGGAGUGCUGUGGCGCAAUCUCGGCUCACUGCAACCUCAGCCUCCCUGGCUCAAGCGAUUCU